rnacentral:rRNA from 1 species
GACGAACGCUGGCGGCGUGCUUAACACAUGCAAGUCGAACGGUAAGGCUCCAGCUUGCUGGGGGUACACGAGUGGCGAACGGGUGAGUAACACGUGGGUGACCUGCCCUGCACUUCGGGGGUAAGCCUGGGAAACUGGGUCUAAUACCGGAUAGGACCAUGGUGUGGAUGCUGUGGUGGAAAGUUUUUUCGGUGUGGGAUGGGCCCGCGGCCUAUCAGCUUGUUGGUGGGGUAAUGGCCUACCAAGGCGGCGACGGGUAGCCGGCCUGAGAGGGUGGACGGCCACAUUGGGACUGAGACACGGCCCAGACUCCUACGGGAGGCAGCAGUGGGGAAUAUUGCACAAUGGGCGGAAGCCUGAUGCAGCGACGCCGCGUGGGGGAUGACGGCCUUCGGGUUGUAAACUCCUUACACCAUCGACGAAGGGUUUCUGACGGUAGAUGGAGAAGAAGCACCGGCUAACUACGUG